AAACUUUCAACAACGGAUCUCUUGGCUCUGGCAUCGAUGAAGAACGCAGCGAAAUGCGAUAAGUAAUGUGAAUUGCAGAAUUCAGUGAAUCAUCGAAUCUUUGAACGCACAUUGCGCCCCUCGGUAUUCCGGGGGGCACACCUGUCCGAGCGUCAUUA
rnacentral:rRNA from 1 species